rnacentral:rRNA from 1 species
GACGAACGCUGGCGGCGUGCUUAACACAUGCAAGUCGAACGCUGAAGCUCAGCUUUUGUUGGGUGGAUGAGUGGCGAACGGGUGAGUAACACGUGAGUAACCUGCCCCCUUCUUUGGGAUAACGCCCGGAAACGGGUGCUAAUACUGGAUAUUCACUGGUCUUCGCAUGGGGGUCGGUGGAAAGGGGAUUUCUGGUGGGGGAUGGGCUCGCGGCCUAUCGGCUUGUUGGUGGGGUGAUGGCCUACCAAGGCUUUGACGGGUAGCCGGCCUGAGAGGGUGCCCGGUAACAUUGAGACGGCGAUACGGCCUAGACUACUACGGGAGGCAGCAGUGGGGAAUAUUGCACAAUGGGCGCAAGCGUGAUGCAGCGACGCCGCGUGAGGUAUGGAGGCCUUCGGGUUGUGAACCUCUUUCGCUCAUAGUCAAGCCGCAACAAUGGUUGUGGUGAGGGUAGUGGGUAAAGAAGCGCCGGCUAACUACGUG